CUCUUCUUUAGUUUUGCCACCUCCGAGCAUAAGACACUAGCCUCCUGGCUGAAAGAAACUCAUUGUUGUUCCUCAGUAAUAAAUUUGGCCUUUGUGGUCUUGACCUCGGAAUUCCUAAGUUGUAAUGCAUCUACCUCAAAAUAUAUGGCAGCAAUCAUAACACCUACUCCUUUAAAUUUUUGUGUUAUCCGACCAACCCAUCAUUUACUUGCA
rnacentral:lncRNA from 1 species